GUCCAGCCGCCGCGGUAAUACGGAGGGUCCGAGCGUUAUCCGGAAUCAUUGGGUUUAAAGGGUCCGUAGGCGGGCAGCUCAGUCAGUGGUGAAAGUCUGCAGCUCAACUGUAGAAUUGCCAUUGAUACUGGUUGUCUUGAAUUAUUAUGAAGUGGUUAGAAUAAGUAGUGUAGCGGUGAAAUGCAUAGAUAUUACUUAGAAUACCGAUUGCGAAGGCAGAUCACUAAUAAUAUAUUGACGCUGAGGGACGAAAGCGUGGGGAGCGAACAGGAUUAGAUA
rnacentral:rRNA from 1 species